rnacentral:rRNA from 1 species
GAUGAACGCUGGCGGCGUGCCUAAUACAUGCAAGUCGAGCGAACAGACGAGGAUCUUGCUCCUUUGACGUUACCUGCGGACGGGUGAGUAACACGUAGGUAACCUAUCUAUAAGACUGGGAUAAGUUCGUGAAACCGGAUCUAAUACCGGCUAAUAUUUCUAACCUCAUGGUUCGAUAGUGAAAGAUGGCUUUGCUAUCACGUAUAGAUGGACCUACGCCGUAUUAGCUAGUUGGUAAGGUAACGGCUUACCAAGGCAACGAUACGUAGCCGACCUGAGAGGGUGAUCGGCCAGACGGGCACUGAGACACGGUCCCGACUCCUACGGGGGGAAGCAGUAGGGAAUCUUACGCGAUGGGGGAAAGCCUGACGGAGCACAGCCGCGUGAGUGAUGAAGGUCUUCUGAUCGUAAAACUAUGUUAUUAGGGAAGAACAAAAGUGUAAGUACCUGUGCACGUCUUGACGGUACCUGAUCAGAAAGCCCCGGCUAACUACGUG